rnacentral:rRNA from 1 species
UACUAGAGUAGCACUCGCAUAUCAAUAAGCGGAGGAAAAGAAACUAACAAGGAUUCCCCUAGUAACGGCGAGUGAAGCGGGAAGAGCUCAAAUUUGAAAUCUUAAAGGGUUUCCCUUUACGAAUUGUAGUUUAAAGAAGUGUUUUCUGUUGAGGUUUUGGUAAAAGUUCUUUGGAAUAGGACAUCAUAGAGGGUGAGAAUCCCGUAUUUGACCUUUACUUUCAACUUUGUGAUACACUUUCAAAGAGUCGGAUUGUUUGGGAAUGCAGUCCAAAAUGGGUGGUAAAUUUCAAUCUAAAGCUAAAUAUUGGCGAGAGACCGAUAGCGAACAAGUACCGUGAGGGAAAGAUGAAAAGAACUUUGAAAAGAGAGUUAAACAGUACGUGAAAUUGUCAAAAGGGAAGCGUUUGACACCAGUGUUGUUUUUCUGAAAAUCAAUUAAAGAACUGUUUAUGCUAAGUUGUUUAGACUUUAUCAGCUAAUCUGUUUAGUUUUGAGCUUUUCUUUAAUGCACUUUUCAGUUAACAAGUCAACAUCAAUUUCUUUUGCUGUAAAAAAGCUUGAGGAAGGUGGCUUGAGAUUCGUCUUAAGUGUUUAUAGCCUCUUGCCUAUGCAGUCGGAGAGAUUGAGGUCUGCAGCGUAGAUCCUUCGGGGCUAAAUGCAUUUGUGCUAAGUUAUAGCAUUUUAUAGACAACUUGUUGACUAUGAUUUGUCUUGUAGCUUACUCGCUUAUGUUAUUUUACCUACGCUUAGGAUGUUGAACUCUAUCACACACAG